AUCCACAGUUCUAGACUCUGAAUAUGCUCGUACAAUUAUAAUAGAUAAAGUAAUAAGCUAUCUGGUAACUGAGUAAUCCCAGUGACAACGAUGACAUCACAUGCGACGAGUUAUUACACCUACAAAAGGGGAAGAAGUAAAACAACAACAACAACAACAACAAAACUACAGCAAAUCUAGCAAGAUAUAAACAAAGACAAGCGACGACGAAUUAAAGCAAACAAUAAGAGACAGUGUGUGUGUAUAUAGACAUAUAAGACACAAGUAUUUACACUCCAACUUAUAUACCAUUUGCGGUGAGAAAACAGAUAGCAGACAAAUGGCAGACAAAAUGCGAGCCUACAAAUGGAGCCGGUAAAAAACAAAAGGCAAAAAAGGCAACAACAACAAUUUAACGGAGAACGAGAGAAGAGACACGCAAGAAAAUGGAGAGCUUUACGAACUGAGCGCAAAUCUAAACCGUAACCGAUCCGAGCCCAAAACCCGAGUCGUUCGAAUUGCACGAAUCGUCGAAUUCGUAUCUUAUCAGUGAUUCUGCUGUUGUCUUUAUCGCUGGCAAGGAAAAAAAAACAUAUACGCAUACGAGUAGAACGAAUAAUAAAAUCAAAGGCAACCAAUAAGAAAAAAAAACUAUUAGCCAAUCACUCAUGACAAUAAAAAAACAAAACGGUGACAAAACCUAAACGGAUAUUGUUUAAAUAAGGUAUACCAGAUAAAUACGUAGAGUGUUAGAUUG